rnacentral:rRNA from 1 species
UCAAAUGUGAAAUCUGGCCUUUUCGGGGUCCGAGUUGUAAUUUGUAGAGGGUGUUUCGGGCGCGAUGCCGUUCUAAGUUCCUUGGAACAGGUCGUUGCAGAGGGUGAGAAUCCCGUACRCGACCGGCGAUCAAGCCUGUGUGAARCCCCUUCGACGAGUCGAGUUGUUUGGGAAUGCAGCUCAAAAUGGGUGGUAAAUUUCAUCUAAAGCUAAAUAUUGGCCAGAGGCCGAUAGCGGACAAGUAGAGUGAUUGAAAGAUGAAAAGCACUUUGGAAAGAGAGUCAAACAGUACGUGAAAUUGUUGAAAGGGAAGCGCUUGCAAUCAGACCGGUCCGGAGGCGAUCAGCCGUUGCUCGUUCAUCGGUGCACUCUCCUGCGAUCCGGCCAGCAUCGGUUUGGGCGGUGGGAUAAAAGUCCCGGGAAUGUAGCUUCUUUCGGGGAGUCUUAUAGCCCGGGUCGCAAUGCCGC